rnacentral:rRNA from 1 species
GCAAGCAGCCAUAUCACCCUGCAACUCCCAGCUGGCAGCCCACUGAAGCUUAGUAGGUGUGAGCCUGGUCAGUACCUGGAUGGGAGACCUCCUGGGAAAGCUAAGGCUGCUGAUA